rnacentral:rRNA from 1 species
UACGUAGGGUGCGAGCGUUAAUCGGAAUUACUGGGCGUAAAGCGUGCGCAGGCGGUCUGUUAAGUCAGAUGUGAAAUCCCCGGGCUUAACCUGGGAACUGCAUUUGUGACUGGCAGGCUAGAGUAUGGCAGAGGGGGGUAGAAUUCCACGUGUAGCAGUGAAAUGCGUAGAGAUGUGGAGGAAUACCGAUGGCGAAGGCAGCCCCCUGGGCCAAUACUGACGCUCAUGCACGAAAGCGUGGGGAGCAAACAGG